rnacentral:rRNA from 1 species
AGCAGUCGCCCGGGAAUACGUAGGUGGCAAGCGUUGUCCGGAAUUAUUGGGCGUAAAGGGCUCGCAGGCGGUUUCUUAAGUCUGAUGUGAAAGCCCCCGGCUCAACCGGGGAGGGUCAUUGGAAACUGGGAAACUUGAGUGCAGAAGAGGAGAGUGGAAUUCCACGUGUAGCGGUGAAAUGCGUAGAGAUGUGGAGGAACACCAGUGGCGAAGGCGACUCUCUGGUCUGUAACUGACGCUGAGGAGCGAAAGCGUGGGGAGCGAACAGGAUUAGAUACCCGCGUAGUCCCUGUCUCUUAUACA